AGUGAACGCUGGCGGCAGGCCUAAUACAUGCAAGUCGAACGGCAGCACAGUGGGGCUUGCUCCAUGGGUGGCGAGUGGCGGACGGGUGAGGAAUACAUGGGAAUCUGCCCAGUCGUGGGGGAUAACGUAUGGAAACGUACGCUAAUACCGCAUGCGCCCUUCGGGGGAAAGUCGGGGACCGCAAGGCCUGACGCGAUUGGAUGAGCCCAUGUUCGAUUAGCUAGUUGGCGGGGUAACGGCCCACCAAGGCGACGAUCGAUAGCUGGUCUGAGAGGAUGAUCAGCCACACUGGAACUGAGACACGGUCCAGACUCCUACGGGAGGCAGCAGUAGGGAAUAUUGGACCAUGGGCGCAAGCCUGAUCCAGCCAUGCCGCGUGAGUGAAGAAGGCCCUCGGGUUGUAAAGCUCUUUCGGCCGGGAAGAAAUCGCAUGGGUGAAUACCCUGUGUGGAUGACGGUACCGGAAUAAGAAGCACCGGCUAACUACGUG
rnacentral:rRNA from 1 species